rnacentral:rRNA from 1 species
GAUGAACGCUGGCGGCGUGCCUAAUACAUGCUAGUCGAGCGAACAGAUAAGGAGCUUGCUCCUUUGACGUUAGCGGCGGACGGGUGAGUAACACGUGGGUAACCUACCUAUAAGACUGGAAUAACUCCGGGAAACCGGGGCUAAUGCCGGAUAACAUUUAGAACCGCAUGGUUCUAAAGUGAAAGAUGGUUUUGCUAUCACUUAUAGAUGGACCCGCGCCGUAUUAGCUAGUUGGUAAGGUAACGGCUUACCAAGGCAACGAUGCGUAGCCGACCUGAGAGGGGGAUCGGCCACACUAGAGCUGAGACACGGACCAGACUCCUGAGGGAGGCAGCAGUAGGGAAUGGUCCGCAAUGGGCGAAAGCCUGACGGAGCGACGCAGCGUGAGUGAUGGAGGUCUUCGGAUCGUAAAACUCUGUUAUUAGGGAAGAACAAAUGUGUAAGUAACUGUGCACGUCUUGACGGUACCUAAUCAGAAAGCCACGGCUAACUACGUG